rnacentral:piRNA from 1 species
UGAAAUGUGUUGAAAGCCAACAGGAGAGAC